UACGUAGGGGGCAAGCGUUGUCCGGAAUCAUUGGGCGUAAAGCGCGCGUAGGCGGCCCGGUAAGUCCGCUGUAAAAGUCCAGGGCUCAACCCUGGAAAGCCGGUGGAUACUGUCGGGCUAGAGUCCGGAAGAGGCGAGUGGAAUUCCUGGUGUGGCGGUGAAAUGCGCAGAUAUCAGGAGGAACACCGGUGGCGAAGGCGGUUCUCGUGGGCAUGUCCUGACGCUGAGGAGCGAAAGUGUGGGGAGCGAACAGG
rnacentral:rRNA from 1 species